AGAUGUACGAAAUUGGUUUUAUAUUUACCUCCCUGUGGAGGUUAUGGUCUGAUUCUACACACAGCAGUGCAACAUCUGUCAGUACUUCUGGUG
rnacentral:ncRNA from 1 species